UAGCCAGUUAUCAAUGCUACAUAGUAGAUUUUAGCCUGUUCCAAUCAUCCUUAUAUCGCGUUAAUGGAAUUUAUGAAAUUGCCUACCGUUCAAAUCGCUCUCUGUUGUUAGCACCACACUGAUUAACUACGAUGUUCCAAUUUUUUAGAAUUAUGUCCGACAUAAUUCUAAUUUUUGCUGUUACAGCAGAUAGUUAUGGUGUAAUGGCACGCAGGAAUAAGUCAUCCCUGUCCUCCAAAAAGCCCAUGAAAAGGUAUUUGGUAAGCUAUGUCUUUUCCAAUAUCAAAUCCAAUGUAUCACAAUCUGUGGACUUUCUACUCAAAAACUAGAUUGAUUAAUUGAUAAUUCAUUGCUGAUUGUUCACGCGCCCUGUAUGGAAGUAUAUAAAUGGUAAUCCGCAUACUCCAGGAAGAAUUGAAGCAAUCUCAAAAGAAAAGAAGGGAAUCUGGAUCCUUCGUCGGAUCGUCAAAGAGCUUAGAGGGGAGCUCUACGCUUCACUGGCCAUGCAAAGCAGGGAGAGUGACGGAGGCGGAGGCACUGCUGGCUGCUGGAACGGACAUUAACAAGCUGGACAGAACGCAGUUUAACCCUUUCAUGGACGCGAUCAACUCAGGACAGGUCGACUGUGCUAGAUGGCUGCUGAGGCAAGACGGUUUAAAGCUUCAGACCGAGAUAUGGUCGUUUUGUAGGGAGAGGGUGCUAGAGUCAUUGCUAACAGCUUAACAGAAGGUAGGGAGAGCGAUCCAUGGCUGUCCCGAUAGACCCACUCAGACUCCUGCCGGAAGAUACUCCUCCGGUUGAUCCAGAUGAGACAGUUCUAGCAGAUGAUCAGUUACAGACUGAAGAACAUAUCCCACAGAUCAAUGCGUCAACAUCUGCAAAUGAAGCUGAUAUCAGAAUCGACAUGAUGAUGGUACUACACGAGAUGCUCAUGGAAAAGGUCUCCGUUUGCUUUCCUCCUCC